CUCGGUCCUCGGUAGUGGCCUUCAGGUGAACGCACCUGCGGGCCUCGAUCGAAGACCGGC
rfam:Nocardioides sp. CF8 chromosome, whole genome shotgun sequence.